GAACGAACGCUGGCGGCGUGGUUGAUACAUGCAAGUCGAACGGGAACGUUUCUUCGGGAAACUAGUACAGUGGCGGACGGGUGAGUAACGCGUGAUCAAUCUACCCUCAAGAUCGGAAUAGCCAUUCGAAAGAAUGUGUAAUACCGGAUAAGACCACGGCCUCGCAUGAGGCUGCGGUAAAAAGGUUGGGAUCUUCGGACCCUCCGCUUGAGGAUGAGAUCGCGUCCCAUUAGCUUGUUGGUGAGGUAACGGCUCACCAAGGCGAUGAUGGGUAGCCGGCCUGAGAGGGUGAACGGCCACACUGGGACUGAGACACGGCCCAGACUCCUACGGGAGGCAGCAGUGCUGAAUCAUUCGCCAAUGCGCGAAAGCGUGACGGUGCGACGCCGCGUGCGGGACGAAGGCCUUCGGGUUGUAAACCGCUGUCAGGACUUCGGAAACCGUUCGGGUUAAUAGCCCGGGCGCUGACCCGGUCCAAAGGAAGCACAGGCUAAUCUCGUGCCAGCAGCCGCGGUAAUACGAGAUGUGCGAGCGUUGUUCGGAAUUACUGGGCAUAAAGGGUGCGUAGGCGGCACGGUCAGUCAGGUGUGAAAGACCCGGGCUCAACCCGGGAAUUGCUCUUGAUACUGCCGUGCUUGAGGACGAAAGAGGCAAGCGGAAUUCUGGGUGUAACGGUGGAAUGCGUAGAUAUCCAGGAGAACGCCAAUGGCGAAGGCAGCUUGCUGGGUCGUUCCUGACGCUGAGGCACAAAAGCUAGGGGAGCAAACAGGAUUAGAUACCCUGGUAGUCCUAGCCGUAAACGAUGGGCACUACACUUCGGGGACCUGACGUCUUCGGAGUCUGAGUUAACGCGUUAAGUGCCCCGCCUGGGGAGUAUGGUCGCAAGACUAAAACUCAAAGGAAUUGACGGGGGCUCACACAAGCGGUGGAGCAUGUUGUUCAAUUCGAAGCAACGCGAAGAACCUUACCUGGACUUGACAUGCUGGAUGUAGGACCCCGAAAGGGCAACGACCGGUAUCCAAUCCGGAACCAGCACAGGUGCUGCAUGGCUGUCGUCAGCUCGUGUCGUGAGACGUUGGGUUAAGUCCCGUAACGAGCGAAACCCUUGUCGUAUGUUGCUACCAGGUCAUGCUGGGUACUCUUGCGAGACUGCCGGUGUCAAACCGGAGGAAGGUGGGGACGACGUCAAGUCAUCAUGGUCCUUACGUCCAGGGCUACAAACGUGCUACAAUGGCAGGUACAGAGAGAAGCGAUACCGCGAGGUGGAGCAAAUCUUCAAAGCCUGCCCCAGUUCGGAUUGGAGGCUGAAAUUCGCCUCCAUGAAGUUGGAAUCGCUAGUAAUCGCGGAUCAGCAACGCCGCGGUGAUACGUUCCUGAGCCUUGUACACACCGCCCGUCAAGCCACCCAAGCUGGAAGCACC
rnacentral:rRNA from 1 species